UACGAAGGGUGCAAACGUUGCUCGGAAUUAUUGGGCGUAAAGCGCACGUAGGCGGCAUUGCAAGUCGGAUGUGAAAUCUUAUGGCUUAACCAUAAAAGUGCAUCCGAAACUGCAGUGCUUGAGUACUUAAGAGGAUCGCGGAAUUCCCGGUGUAGAGGUGAAAUUCGUAGAUAUCGGGAGGAACACCAGUGGCGAAGGCAAUCCCCUGGGCCUGCACUGACGCUCAUGCACGAAAGCGUGGGGAGCAAACAGG
rnacentral:rRNA from 1 species